rnacentral:rRNA from 1 species
UACGAAGGGUGCAAGCGUUACUCGGAAUCACUGGGCGUAAAGCGUGCGUAGGCGGUUGAUUAAGUCUGCUGUGAAAGCCCUGGGCUCAACCUGGGAACUGCAUUUGUGACUGCAAGGCUAGAGUACGGCAGAGGGGGAUGGAAUUCCGCGUGUAGCAGUGAAAUGCGUAGAUAUGCGGAGGAACACCGAUGGCGAAGGCAAUCCCCUGGGCCUGUACUGACGCUCAUGCACGAAAGCGUGGGGAGCAAACAGG